rnacentral:rRNA from 1 species
ACCGUGCAAAGGUAGCAUAAUCAUUAGUUUUUUAAUUGAAAGCUGGUAUGAACGGUUGGACGAGAAAAUAACUGUCUCAAUUUAAUUGAAUGUAGAACUUUAUUUAUAAGUAAAAAAGCUUAUAUAAAUUUAAAAGACGAGAAGACCCUAUAGAGUUUUAUAGUUUUUUAUAUUAAAGAAUUUUAGUAUGUUUACAUUUUUGAUAUAAAAAAAUAUUUUGCUGGGGCAGCAGAAAAAUUAAAUAAACUUUUUUUUUAUAUUUUUACAUUGAUUUAUGGUUUAAUGAUCCAUUGUUUAUGAUUAUAAGAUUAAAUUACCUUAGGGAUAACAGCGUAAUUUUUUUUUAGAGUUCUUAUCGAAAAAAGAGUUU